AUGGCUGAGUGGUAAAGCAUUUGGCUUUGGAACCAGAGGGUAUAGGUUUGAAUCCUGGU
rnacentral:tRNA from 1 species